GGUUAAGCGACUAAGCGUACACGGUGGAUGCCCUGGCAGUCAGAGGCGAUGAAGGACGUGCUAAUCUGCGAAAAGCGUCGGUAAGGUGAUAUGAACCGCUACAGCCGGCGAUGUCCGAAUGGGGAAACCCAGUGCAAUUCGUUGCACUAUCGUUUGAUGAAUACAUAGUCAAACGAGGCGAACCGGGGGAACUGAAACAUCUAAGUACCCCGAGGAAAAGAAAUCAACCGAGAUUCCCCCAGUAGCGGCGAGCGAACGGGGAGCAGCCCGGAGUCUGAAUCA
rnacentral:rRNA from 1 species